GGCUAUUAUAGGGGGCCGGGGCUUGGCUAUUAUAGGGGGCCCGGGGCUUGGCUAUUAUAGGGGGCCCAGGGCUUGGCUAUUAUAGGGGGCCCAGGGCUUGGCUAUUAUAGGGGGCCCGGGGCUUGGCUAUUAUAGGGGCCGAAAGAGAAAUUUGCCAGUGCUCGAUUUGCCUUUAAAAAAUAAUUACAAAAAAUGAGAUGUUAGUACCAUACUUUGGCCAAAAUAUGUAAGCUCACGUGCCACGUCAAGGCCCCUCAAUGUAUGAUCAAAUUGAGCGCUGGCAAACUUUCUCUUUGUUUACAAAUAUUGGCUUUUUAUCGUUUUUGACAGCUGGUCAACUCCAGAAUGUGGGUCAGUCCGAGCGCUUGGACAAUGUUGUCUACGGCAGCUGGUCAACACCACAGCGUGAAUUAGACCGAGUGCUGGCGAUUUCUUUCUGUGUUUUGUUUACAUAUUAUAGGGGCCCGCGGCUUGGCUAUUAUAGGGGCCCGCGGCUUGGCUAUUAUAGGGGCCCGCGGCUUGGCUAUUAUAGGGGCCCGCGCUUGGCUAUUAUAGGGGCCCGCGGCUUGGCUAUUAUAGGGGCCCGCGGCUUGGCUAUUAUAGGGGCCCGCGGCUUGGCUAUUAUAGGGGCCCGCGGCUUGGCUAUUAUAGGGGCCCGCGGCUUGGCUAUUAUAGGGGCCCGCGGCUUGGCUAUUAUAGGGGGCCCAGGGCUUGGCUAUUAUAGGGGGCCCAGGGCUUGGCUAUUAUAGGGGGCCCAGGGCUUGGCUAUUAUAGGGGGCCCAGGGCUUGGCUAUUAUAGGGGGCCCGCGGCUUGGCUAUUAUAGGGGGCCCGCGGCUUGGCUAUUAUAGGGGGCCCAGGGCUUGGCUAUUAUAGGGGGCCCGCGGCUUGGCUAUUAUAGGGGGCCCGCGGCUUGGCUAUUAUAGGGGGCCCGCGGCUUGGCUAUUAUAGGGGCCCGCGGCUUGGCUAUUAUAGGGGCCCGCGGCUUGGCUAUUAUAGGGGCCCGCGGCUUGGCUAUUAUAGGGGCCCGCGGCUUGGCUAUUAUAGGGGCCCGCGGCUUGGCUAUUAUAGGGGUGUGGCUAUGGACCUCUGGCUUUUAUUCUGCACGAGGCUUGGGUGGGAAGCUAUGGUUGUGUACAUUGCAGGGGGUGCGGAUAUGGGGGCUUUUUGCUUUAUAUGGAGUGGGGGGGUUGGGUGUUGGUAUAGAAGAGUGCAGUGGACUGCAUAGUGGGCCAUGUUUUUGUACAGGGCAUGGGGUUUAGGUCUGAGGGGUAACUUUUGAUGUGGGUAGUUGGCUUCUAAGUGAAUCCUUAUUUUGUGGCAUUUUUAACCCCCUUCUGGUGACCUACAAGAAUGUUUUGGUGCAAACCCCUAAUCCUUGAAGGGCUGGUCAGCAAGUGAACAAUAGCGCCCCCUCAGUGAUCCCUGCAUGUUCCCUGGCCUGAGAGCUGAAACCUUUCUGAAGGGGUUGUGUAAAUGUUCCUUUAUCUGAAGUAGUUGCCCAACAACCUGUAGAUCUCUGGAGCUUUGUUUUGUGCUGCUUCAGACCUUCGAUUAGCAGCUUUGCUAUAUCCCGUAUACAUUACCCCUGCUAACGUGUUCGCACUCGGGAAUUGUCUUGGGCAGGAGCGGAAAUAUUGGGCAGGAAUAAAAGCUGCUCAGUUUGGGUUUCCUGCAUUGAGUCCUGUCCCAGGAGAGUUCUGGAACACAGACUUGCUGCUCCGUCCUGGGAGUAUUAAUGAGGGUGUGAGGCCCUAUGCUGGCUCUCAUGGUGCCUUGCUCUAAUGUAAAUCCCAGGAUAGAGGUGCCUGAUAAUCACUAAAGCGGUCUGUCUAUUUAUUGUAUAUGAUGCCUGGUGUGUACUGAGGGGCAAUCCACCUUUCCAAGUGCCCCUGCGUGAGUAUUUCCACUCAAAAGAUAUUGCAUAAAACAGCUCAUAUGUAAAACCCUGCUUCAUGUAAAUAAACCAUUUUCAUAAUAAUAUGCUUUUCUAGUAGUAUGUGUCAUUGGGUAAUCCUAAAUAGAAAACUGCAUUUUU